CAACGAGGAGGACAGAGUGAGGAGGCCACCACGAGGAGGACACCCACGAGGAGGACGUGAAUGAGGAAGAUACAACGAGGAGGACACCCACGAGGAGGACACCCACGAGGAGGACACC